AGAGUUUGAUCCUGGCUCAGAGCGAACGCUGGCGGCAGGCCUAAUACAUGCAAGUCGAACGGAUCCUUCGGGAUUAGUGGCGGACGGGUGAGUAACACGUGGGAACGUGCCCUUUGGUUCGGAACAACUCAGGGAAACUUGAGCUAAUACCGGAUGAGCCCUUCGGGGGAAAGAUUUAUCGCCAUUGGAGCGGCCCGCGUCUGAUUAGCUAGUUGGUGGGGUAAUGGCCUACCAAGGCUACGAUCAGUAGCUGGUCUGAGAGGAUGAUCAGCCACACUGGGACUGAGACACGGCCCAGACUCCUACGGGAGGCAGCAGUAGGGAAUCUUGCGCAAUGGGCGAAAGCCUGACGCAGCCAUGCCGCGUGAAUGAUGAAGGUCUUAGGAUUGUAAAAUUCUUUCAGCGGGGACGAUAAUGACGGUACCCGCAGAAGAAGCCCCGGCUAACUUCGUGCCAGCAGCCGCGGUAAUACGAAGGGGGCUAGCGUUGCUCGGAAUUACUGGGCGUAAAGGGCGCGUAGGCGGAUGUUUAAGUCAGAGGUGAAAGCCCAGGGCUCAACCUUGGAAUUGCCUUUGAUACUGGACAUCUUGAGUACGGGAGAGGUGAGUGGAACUCCGAGUGUAGAGGUGAAAUUCGUAGAUAUUCGGAAGAACACCAGUGGCGAAGGCGACUCACUGGCCCGUUACUGACGCUGAGGCGCGAAAGCGUGGGGAGCAAACAGGAUUAGAUACCCUAGUAGUCC
rnacentral:rRNA from 1 species